GACAGAUAGUCGUUUGACAUGUGAUAUCUGAUCUUUUAAUAGUGAAGCAGUCCAAAGAAAAGACGUAAUAGCGACACACCAGUCGUGUAAUAAAUAUAUCAGGCUAUAUUGAUAAAUAUAUCACAUGAAAUGUCUGAAAUACGUGGGAUAACAGUUGAAAAUGAGAAAAGUAAAAUGUCUGAAGAUGAGAUAUCAACUGUAGAUGAUCGGAUAACAAUUGAAGAAGAUCGGAUAUCAACUGAAAAACGUGAUAUUAAGAAAAGUAAAAAUAGGAGGCCGAUUAAAAAACGCGAAUCUGUGAAAAGUGAUAAUAAACCCGUCUUCUCCAAUUGCUAUUAUCCUCCGGUAGACGUGAGUCUAUAUAAAUAUAAAAAAGCACCAUCGCCGUCUUUCGGCCUCAAGCAUCGUCGGGAACACGACUCAGCGGGUCCAGGUCCAGUUUAUUAUUGUCGCAAUUGGAACUUGCUUAAAUCCCACGGUUUCCCGCAAUCGCUUGGAAUACGUACUACAAUUGUCCCCCUUACUCCAUUGGAUUAAAUCGCACACUCACUUGCCGUGUACAUAGAAAAUCUCCUACGAGUCUUUUUUUGAUAUCAAAAAAUAUCAACACAAGUCGAUAAAGUAAAAAAAAAACCCAACAUUUUCUAAGGUUGGGUAGUUCACAGAUCUGGUUGCAGACAUGAUUGCAAUGAAUGCAUGUGAGCUGACUGCUCUGUUGUCGUGAUUUGAUUGAUUGCGAGUUUUAGUUUUUACUUUAUCGACGAGUGUUGAUAUUUGUUGAUAUCAAAAAAUACGAGUAGGGGAUUUUAUUUAUCAUCCAAUCCUUUCUUACAUGCACAAAUAGAUAGAUAUAAUUCUUUGCUAAAGAUUUCACUUUUACUGAACCUGAUUACAUUACGACGUAGUGAUACAUCAUUUUUUUUGACAGAAAGUCAACCAUUGCAAAGUCCUUUAUAUUGACCCAGUGUUUCCAUCAAGGUCAAUUAAAAAAAAAUAGUUCAUUUUUGAUAACAAAGCAGUUAUACUUUUAAUAAAAAGAUGAACUGUUCUUUGAAAAUAAAGAAAAAGUAGUUCCUUUUAAGGAGAUAUCGCAGUGGGUUAUGAAAUUUAUCACACACGCGAUAUCUACUGUAGAAUGUAUUAUUGGGUGAUAUAAAUACACAGUUUAUGACAUAUGGUUUUGAUUAGAGCGUUCGUUUGUAAAUUAGUUUGAAAUACACAUCUGACGUCAUCUCGUGCUAUUCGAAUUAAUUUUAUACUCUAGAUGAAAUACAAUCUGGUUAAAGCGGAAAUUGCAAAUUUUUAAGUUAUAUUUUUAAAAUUUAUGAAAAUAAAGCCUGAAAAUAGAUGGUAUCCAUAAACAGUCCUACCUUGUGAAAGAAUAAUCCUAUUAAUCCCAUAAUUCACUAUUUCCAGCUGAGAAAUUGGCAAAAAUAUAAUUUUCCUCUUCAUUGUCAAACGUUUGAAUAUCGCUACUCCAUGGUGGAGAAUAGAAAACAAGGGAGGUAAUUGUGUUAUUUUUUUUUACUAUGUAAAUGAAUCUUAAGUGUGAGAAUGACACCUAUGAUCGUAUAAUUGUGAGUUGACAACCUAUUGAGCAAAAGACAUAGAAAUAAUUACGUUUUGACUUUCUUAGAAAAUUUGCAAUUUCCGCUUUAAAACACGGAUCCUAUUUCGUUUCGUUUUUAUAGUUCAAAAUUUCGUUUUACUUGUCUUCAGUGUAGGCCAUCGAAAGUAUAAAAGAACGAAACGAAAUAUAGAUCUGUAUUUUAAUAAGAUUGGAUGAAAUAUUGAAUUCGCGUGGUAUUUACAUUGAAAUUCAUUCGCGGAAUAGCAUCGGUAUUUUAAGUUGUGUAAUGGUCUCGAGCUAGACUUGAGUUUAUUGUAAUUUAAUGAGCGAAUGACCACACCCAUUAUUAUUGAGUUUAUUGUAAUUUAAUGAGCAAAUGACCACACCCAUUAUUAUUGAGUUUAUUGUAAUUUAAAGAUACAUUAUGGGAGAUAAGAUAAAGAGAUGGCAGUUCUCGCUAUUAUAGUUAAAAACUAGAUAGUGUAAAAGUAAUUUGCUGAAAAUUUCAGUCAAAUUGAUCCACUAUGAGCCGAGAAAGAAGCGGAUGAAACUUUUGCAUAGUCUCGGUCAUCAUUACUAAAAUCAUUAAUAUAAACAGCAUAGUCUCGAUUAUCCGCUUUUAUUGAUCUAAUUAUCAAUAGCCGUUAGCGGCAUAUAGGAAUCUAAUCCAGCCAACAUCGAAGGCUAACCUUUGCAUCGAGAGUUUAUUAUGGUCUGGAUAAGUUAAUUAAUGUCUAAUUGAUAAUUUAGAUAACAUUUCAGGCCUAAAGAAAGACUUGUAAUAAGCAGAUUUUGCUCUUGCAUAAUGCUAGUUUAAUAAGCGAAAUGCCACACCCAUUAUAAUAUUGAUUUUAUUGUAAUUUAAUAAGCGAACGGAUGCAUACAUUAUAAUAAUAUUGACUUUAUUGUAACACAAGCCUGUAACCUUUACUUAGUAUAAAUCAUAAUACAUGCAUAUAGCCACGAAUAAUUAAUAAGUUUAUAUAAGUUAUACUAGGUUUAUAUAGUCCAUUAUUAUAUAUCAUUAAAGAUAUCAUUAUAUAUCAUUAAUUAUUCACGAAGCCGUCUAACUAACUAAUUAUCUUGGCUGUGAAGUAGUCUAUUUGUUAUUAUUGUUACGUAGUCCCGAAAUGAUCUAGUUUGUGUCUAGUGGACGUUAAACCCUCUCUCUUUUUGUUAUUAUUGUUAUGAAGCAGUCUAACUAUUUGCUAUUAUUGCUGUGAAGUAGUCUAACUAUUGGUUAUUAUUGUUAUGAAGCAGUCUACCUAAAUAAUUGUUAUUCUUGUGAAGAAAUCUAAUUCUUUGUUUUCUUGCUGUGAUGCAACUUGUGCUCAAAAUAAACUUAAACUAUGGAAACGA